CCGUUAUUGCUCUAUUAAAUUUCUCUAGGGACAGAAAGAACUUCCAUCAGCUGGUGAGACUUGCAAUUACAGCUAAACAAACUGUCGCCUUUUAAACAGGAUCCGUUUCUGCACAGCCCUGCAUAAUGCCUUCCCUGUUGGUGAAUCACGCCCGCCUCACGUCCAUUUCCAGGCCCCUGAUCUCCUCUUCCUGUGGUUCCUUGUGCCUGGAGACAUUCCUGUCAGCUUUGCAGUAGAAUCUCCACAAGCUGCCCUGUGCUGAGGACUCAGGCUUGGGAUCAUCGAUCAAGACCUCCAGAGUCCCAGAAAGUAAACUGGACCGGAUGGGAACAAACUGGAUUGGAUGGGCCUAAGGCUUCCUCCCUCCUAGUGUGUUCUAGAUUUUUCUGGAAAAGUGCUCUUCAGUGAAGAAUGAUGGAAUCUUGGGGCUUUUUUGGGACAACACUUUUGGGUCAGUUCUUUCUGGUUGAACAUUUAUUGUGGACAGUUUACAUUUAUCAAGCCCAUGUCCUGUGUCUGUGAUGACACAGGAGACACACGAUGAAUGAAACCAAGUUGUUGCCCUUGAGGAGCUCAGGAGACAGGGAAAGAAGGAACCUUUCAAGAGCCAGGAGCCUUUGGGUUGCUCAGUGAAGAAAUAGAGACCAAAAGGAAAGAUUAUCUUGGGCUUGCAUGACUAGGUGUCCUGGGCUCAAAUGAUCUCAUCCGGGCUCCAUUUGUCCCCUCUGUUCCUUGGCUCUGCAUGUCCUGGCCAUUCCUGGUGCACCAGCGUCACUCUCUCUGCUUUUGACAUGCUCUAGACUUGGAGGAAGGGACAAGACAAAGCAAAGAAAAAAACCAGGCUCUCUUUUGGCAGGCAUGUGUGAAAUCUAAGAAUUAUUGCUGCGUGUGGUGGCAGGAGGAUCUAAAGUUCAAAGCCAGCCUCAGCAAUGGCGAGGCACUAAGCAACGCAGUGAGACCCUGUCUCUAAAUAAAAUACCAAAUAGGGCUGGGGAUG
rnacentral:lncRNA from 1 species